UCGAUGAGUAGGGCGGGACACGUGGUAUCCUGUCUGAAUAUGGGGGGACCAUCCUCCAAGGCUAAAUACUCCUGACUGACCGAUAGUGAACCAGUACCGUGAGGGAAAGGCGAAAAGAACCCCGGCGAGGGGAGUGAAAAAGAACCUGAAACCGUGUACGUACAAGCAGUGGGAGCCUCUUUUAUGGGGUGACUGCGUACCUUUUGUAUAAUGGGUCAGCGACUUAUAUUCUGUAGCAAGGUUAACCGAAUAGGGGAGCCGAAGGGAAACCGAGUCUUAACUGGGCGUUAAGUUGCAGGGUAUAGACCCGAAACCCGGUGAUCUAGCCAUGGGCAGGUUGAAGGUUGGGUAACACUAACUGGAGGACCGAACCGACUAAUGUUGAAAAAUUAGCGGAUGACUUGUGGCUGGGGGUGAAAGGCCAAUCAAACCGGGAGAUAGCUGGUUCUCCCCGAAAGCUAUUUAGGUAGCGCCUCGUGAAUUCAUCUCCGGGGGUAGAGCACUGUUUCGGCAAGGGGGUCAUCCCGACUUACCAACCCGAUGCAAACUGCGAAUACCGGAGAAUGUUAUCACGGGAGACACACGGCGGGUGCUAACGUCCGUCGUGAAGAGGGAAACAACCCAGACCGCCAGCUAAGGUCCCAAAGUCAUGGUUAAGUGGGAAACGAUGUGGGAAGGCCCAGACAGCCAGGAUGUUGGCUUAGAAGCAGCCAUCAUUUAAAGAAAGCGUAAUAGCUCACUGGUCGAGUCGGCCUGCGCGGAAGAUGUAACGGGGCUAAACCAUG
rnacentral:rRNA from 1 species